rnacentral:rRNA from 1 species
AUGACACCGCUACAAUACCGCACCCGGUCGCCCUGGACACCGGCACAAGCCGCCGGCUUCCCCUACGUUCCGGUGCUAUUAUGUUGGCAUAGGUUACAUCGUGUGUCUACCCCGCUAUAUAUGAGAGGCCUAGGAUACAAGUGUCCUACUAGGACACGACUUCAUAUCCUAUGUAAACACAAUACAACUCAUAUUCCAACUGUAACCUACCUUGUACAUAAUAUUCGACACAACUCUAACAAACUUCACCUGGCGAAUAUUCUCCACCACCUUGAAUUCAUCAAUGCGUCAAACUUCCAUGUACAUUGGACUUGA